rnacentral:rRNA from 1 species
AUUGAACGCUGGCGGCAUGCUUUACACAUGCAAGUCGAACGGCAGCGCGGGCUUCGGCCUGGCGGCGAGUGGCGAACGGGUGAGUAAUGCAUCGGAACGUGCCCAGUAGUGGGGGAUAGCCCGGCGAAAGCCGGAUUAAUACCCCAUACGACCUGAGGGUGAAAGCGGGGGACCGAAAGGCCUCGCGCCAUUGGAGCGGCCGAUGUCGGAUUAGCUAGUUGGUGGGGUAAAGGCUUACCAAGGCGACGAUCCGUAGCUGGUCUGAGAGGACGACCAGCCACACUGGGACUGAGACACGGCCCAGACUCCUACGGGAGGCAGCAGUGGGGAAUUUUGGACAAUGGGGGCAACCCUGAUCCAGCCAUGCCGCGUGCGGGAAGAAGGCCUUCGGGUUGUAAACCGCUUUUGUUCGGGAAGAAAUCCUCUGGGCUAAUACCCCGGGGGGAUGACGGUACCGGAAGAAUAAGCACCGGCUAACUACGUG